CUUCCCAACUCCCUCACAAGGAUGUCCAUGGCAACGGCUAUUCAUUGUUUCUUUGGUAAACUCAAUGAGCAGGAAGCAGGAAGCCUCAGUGUAACAGGCUAGUCUUAAUGUUGCUCUUGACCAAUGAUAAGGUUUGACUGCCAAG
rnacentral:lncRNA from 1 species